CCUGGCCUCUCUCCAUUCCAGACCUGUGUUUCCAGUAGUUUCUACACGUCGGUGGAUGUGUCAUCCCCACUGGAAACUCACAGCUCUGAAAGCAGUCUCUUCACCUUUGCUCGCCCCAUAAGCAGCCCGUUACUCAUCUUCCUGGUCCAGUCACCUGAGGCCGAAUCUCACCACCUCUCAGAGAAGGGGGAGCACGGCCCCUGGCUUCUCUGUCAGGUGGGAAGGUCUGGAGAGGUGAAGGGGGCUUGAAGCCCAGAAGGAGAUGCAGCACCAUCAGGGAGCCUCCCACCUGUCUGAGUCUCCAGGUCGGGUGAAUGAGCUCCCAGGAACAAGAGCUCAGCUGCCCUGCCCCAGGGAGGGGCGGGACCCUGCAGGACACGACCCAUGACCUCACCUCUCCUGGCUCCGGGCAGCAGCCCUGCCCACCUCUGGAGAAUUCCAUGACUCAGCCUACUCAAGGGUGCACUGCCCAGAUGGAUUUUUUUUUGCUCACCAUCCGCAAGUCAGUUCACCCCCAAAGUGUAAAAACAGAGCCUGCUGUGUCCAGUUAUUCUCUCUCCCCUCGCCCUCGUCAGCUCUGCUUCUGCCUGAGCGUGUGGACAGCGGGGUGAGGCACUGGGCAGCAAAGGCUGCAAGUGUCCCUGAGCACGUGCCUGGGGCCUGGUGCUGCCCUCACCGAGUGCCCCAGUGGACGGGCAGAAAG